rnacentral:lncRNA from 1 species
GCUGACCUUACCCAGCAGAGGACAUGGCCUUGGAGCUAAAUAAAGGCAGGCCCGUCUUAGAGGGGAUCCCUGGGGGGAAAGAGACGAGCAUAGGUUCCUCCCAAGAUGCCACCCGCUUCAUUCAAGUGUCUGGCAGCACUGUGUUCCUGUUAGAGCCACCAGCACAAGCACCAGACGAUGCUGAUCCAGGUGAAGGCCCCAGUGCAGCAGCAACAGCACAUGAUGGAGACGAUGAUGAGGAGGAGACCAUCUCUCUGGAUUCCAGAGCAUGAGGUAUCAUGUUAAGACUGUGAAAGUCUAUUUACUCUACAAUGGUGAGGAGUCCUCAUCAAAAUCUAAAAAUCUAAUUUCUUUUACAGACCCAGAUGCUAUACAGUGGGAAAACCAGCCUGGCAACAUAGUGCGUAUUAAUAAAAGGACACCACAUCCUGCCAAAUUCCAGCUGCGCUAAUUGUAUUGUGUUCACCGAGCUCACAAGCUAUCAGAAAGUUGUAUGGCAACCACCUCCGUCGCCAAAUAGAACUGGCAGACAUAGACAUUCAGUACAAG